ACCUUGAGUGGAUGCACCUUUCAUAUUUGAAGUAGAUAUAAAUAUUUGAGAAUUUGGAACCUUUGUUACAAUUUAAUGUGGUGGUUGAGACACUUUGGCUCUUUGAUCAUUAUAUAUGGUCAUAUAUAAUACUUCAUUUUGCUUUAACAAAGUCUUGUCCUAAUCCUUAAUGCUUCAAAAGUAUUAAUAAUAGAGUCUAACUUGAUCUCCUUUGAGUUUUUUAUAUUGACUUUUCUACCUUCUACGAUAAAAAAUCAAAAAAACACAUGCUUUUAAAAAAAAAUAAAAAAUAAAAAAUAAAAAAACCUAAUCUAUGAUAAAAAGAAAAAAAAAAACCAAAAGAAUAUUAAAAAAAGAACAACAUUAGUCUAGGAGAGGAUAAUCUGCAACCUCUAGA
rnacentral:lncRNA from 1 species